rnacentral:misc_RNA from 1 species
GACCAAAAGGAAGCCAUUAAUGAUAAGGAAAUCAAUUCACCUGUUGUGAACUUCAAUAACUGUGCGCAGAGAGAGAGAGAGAGGUACUAUGGAAAAAUUUUGAGGAGAUUCGUGAUUAAGGCUGAAAGGGUCUCUGGUGAGUAGUGGUGGGGACUCAGGGCCAAGUGCUAAGUGGCAAAAUCUUAUUGGGACUUGAUUUGUGAAGACAGCUAUGAAUUUGGCUACAG